rnacentral:rRNA from 1 species
GACGAACGCUGGCGGCGUGCUUAACACAUGCAAGUCGAACGAAGUGGCGAACGGGUGAGUACUACGUGGGUAACCUGCCCUCAUUUUUGGGAUCAGCCUGGGAACCGGGGUCUAAUACCGACUACAGGGGGAUUUGCUCGCGGCCUGUCAGCUUGUUGGUGGUGUGAUGGCCUACCAAGAAGGUGACGUGUAGCCGGCCUGAGAGGGUGACCGGCAACAUUGUGACUGAGACACGGCCCAGACUACUACGUGAGGCAGCGGUGGGGGAUAUUGCACAAUGAGCGAAAUCCUGAUGCAGCGAGGGCGCGUGGGGGAUGAAUGCUUUCGGGUUGUAAACUUCUUUUAUAUAAGAAUAUGUAUUAUAUGAAUAAGGAUCGGCUAACUCCGUGCCAGCAGCCGCGGUAAUUC